rnacentral:rRNA from 1 species
GCAGACCACUCCUACGGGAGGCAGCAGUGGGGAAUAUUGCACAAUGGGCGCAAGCCUGAUGCAGCCAUGCCGCGUGUAUGAAGAAGGCCUUCGGGUUGUAAAGUACUUUCAGCAGUGAGGAAGGUGGGUAUGUUAAUAGCAUAUUCAUUUGACGUUAGCUGCAGAAGAAGCACCGGCUAACUCCGUGCCAGCAGCCGCGGUAAUACGGAGGGUGCGAGCGUUAAUCGGAAUUACUGGGCGUAAAGCGCAUGCAGGUGGUUUGUUAAGUCAGAUGUGAAAGCCCGGGGCUCAACCUCGGAAUUGCAUUUGAAACUGGCAAACUAGAGUACUGUAGAGGGGGUAGAAUUUCAGGUGUAGCGGUGAAAUGCGUAGAGAUCUGAAGGAAUACCGGUGGCGAAGGCGGCCCCCUGGACAGAUACUGACACUCAGAUGCGAAAGCGUGGGGAGCAAACAGGAUUAGAUACCCUGGUAG